ACCAAGGCUUGACAUACACCGGAAACGUCCAGAGAUGGGCGCCCCCUUGUGGUCGGUGUACAGGUGGUGCAUGGCUGUCGUCAGCUCGUGUCGUGAGAUGUUGGGUUAAGUCCCGCAACGAGCGCAACCCUUGUCCCGUGUUGCCAGCAGGCCCUUGUGGUGCUGGGGACUCACGGGAGACCGCCGGGGUCAACUCGGAGGAAGGUGGGGACGACGUCAAGUCAUCAUGCCCCUUAUGUCUUGGGCUGCACACGUGCUACAAUGGCCGGUACAAUGAGCUGCGAUACC
rnacentral:rRNA from 1 species